AGAUUGAACGCUGGCGGCAUGCCUAACACAUGCAAGUCGAACGGGAGUAGCAAUACUCUAGUGGCGGACGGGUGAGGAAUACGUAGGAAUUUGCCCUUAAGUGGGGGAUAACCCGGGGAAACCCGGAUUAAUACCGCAUGACCUCGAAAGAGCAAAGUGGGGGAUCGCAAGACCUCACGCUUUUGGAGAAGCCUACGUCGGAUUAGCUAGUUGGUGAGGUAAUGGCUCACCAAGGCGACGAUCCGUAACUGGUCUGAGAGGAUGAUCAGUCACACCGGAACUGAGACACGGUCCGGACUCCGUACGGGAGGCAGCAGGUGGGGAAUAUUGGACAAGUGGGCGCAAGCCUGAUCCAGCAAUCGCCGCGGUGUGGUAGAAGAACGGUCCGUUAGGGUUAGUAAAGUCUAACGUUUUAAGGUUAGG
rnacentral:rRNA from 1 species